UCUUCCCCAAGACACCUAUCUUCACUUUUUCUUUUUAUUCUCCAAUAGGGGCCCUUGGAAGGUUAAAGCUCAAGUGGAACUUCUUUGAAAAAUAUCCACAGCCCUUACUGAAGUGCUCUGGAAUUUCUCUGCAGUCCUGGACUAAGCAGAUGGUGAUCGUCAUGAGAGAAGUGAUUUUUUUCUCAUUCCUUUGGUGUAUCUCUAAAGUUCCUACUCUUAGCCUUGGACCUCGUCAGGUAUUUCUGGAAAUCAGAAGACAGUUCCCAUAAAACCUGGAAAUUGGGAAAAUAUAGAGCCUAUAGAAUAUGAUACACAAUAUCACUAUAAUAUUUUAAAAGCAAAAUAUGGAUAAAGUGAACACUGACAACAGAAUUGAAUGGAGAAUGAGCUCAGAACAUAUAGCAGAGCCCCCUUCCACGACCACCACUAGCAUCUUGCAGAAUUGAAAGUCAGAACAAAGGGGUGAGAAGAGACCAACAGAACACAAGACCUGACACGUCUGUGAAGAAUGACAGAGAGAAGCCCAAGUCAUUUUCCAGAGCUAGUUCUUUGUGCUUACUAUUGCAGAUUGCCUUAAAAGGCUCAAACUUCUGUCAUUAUGAAGAGGGUUGUUCAUUAUUCCAAAAACUGCUAAGAACAGGAUUGCUACCCAAGCAGAAGAGAAUCUGUUUUAAGUGAAUGUUCCCAAGAAAAUAAUCAAGUGUCUAAACUUAUUUUGCUUCUUAGGAAAAAAAAUGUAUUUUGAAGGCAAAGAUAGAAAAUAUUCCAGAGAACACAUCCAUCUGGAAGAUUUUCCCAGAACUCUUCAGAUCAGCCUGGAUCCAAUUUUCAUAACUCAUCCACACAGUGGAUGGUGGGCAUUUAUAUUAUGUCUCCUUAGAAGCAGACAUCGUCCUACACAAUCAUCUAGAGCUUCUUGCAGCCUUGAAAGAUUCACUAUAACACAACUCCAUCUUCACUAAAACAAAGCUGCAACUUGGUCCUUCAGUGGAAAAGAUGGACCUUUGAAAGAUAAGAUAUGAGAAUCUGGGCAGCCAGACCGCAGCCAGGAAAAGGAGAAAGGGAUCCUAGAAAGGAAUGACACCUCUGAAUGUGCAUCUGUGUGGCAUCUUGCUUUCAGGUACUCACACGGGUGCCCCACCGAGGGAAAUCCAAUGCAAGGGAUGACAACGGAAGCUCUUCACAAUGGUUUGAAGCUUAUUUAUGCUGGAAGAAGAAAUGAGAAAUCACCCCAGCUGAGCUCCCUGCUGACGGCCAGCAGCAUUUGCCAGCAUGUGAGUGAGCCAUCUGAACAUCCAGCCCUAUACAGCCUUCAGAGACGCCAGCCCCAGCUUCAAACUGACUGAAAACCAGAGACACCAAAUGAGAACCACCCAGAAGGCGGAGGCAACAAGUGUGUCCACCACUCAACUGACCAGGAAGAAAUAAGUGGUUGGCACCGGGCAGCGUGAAGAAAGGUAGCUACGGACUUUGCAGUCACAUGGAUUCAUACCUGCCUGAAAACACACCUAAAAUGCAUGAAUUGGUGUCUAUGGAGAUUUUGAAGUGAAAAAAAAUUAUUACACCUGAAUAUUACACACACUCCUAUACACCUCAUGUUAAUUAGGAUAUUAACAGUCAAGAAUGCAUUCAGAGAAGAAUGACUUGAAUGAUAGGAAGUCUGAGGUUUAUGUCAAAAGUGACAGAGCUGAGGGAAGCCCGGGCUCCUGCAAUUCUGCCCACAUCUAGGAAGUCAAGAGACUGAAACCAGUGGUCGCACAAAUAAAGCUGAGACUCAGCUUAGGUGGUCCAGACCACGUCCUGGCAGCUCGAGGGUGCCUGGGGCGCCAAUGAGUUCAAGAGAAGCAGGCAGACAGUGACCAAGUACAGACCGAAACCACCUCCAACACUGACCAAGAGAAUCUCAUUACCCUUGCAGGCAGCCCCACAGUGCCACCAUCCCGAAUGAUCACAAGAGAGAAUCAAAAUACUUCCAUUCUGGUCAUUCCAUUCCAUUCAUAUCGAAUCAACUGUACCCCAGGGAUGGCUACUUGCCUUGUGCAUCUACUUCUGGAUGCUUCUCCAUUUCGCAAAGGACAAGUGGCCACAACUGUGCUUUUCUGUGUCAUGCAAGGGCAGAGGAAUUUCCCUUAUAUCUGUCAACCAAAGUUGGCAGUUGGAGGAGAAUUCUCUCAAUGGAUUAAAUAAUCCUAGUUGCCACAGUUUCUCAUUAUUGCAUCCAUGAGUCCUGCUUUACCUUCAAACACAGUUUGGCCUUCAUUGGCCCUCUUAAUUACAUAUUUGAAGACAGGCGACACUGAAGUUGGGACUCACUUAGCUAAUGAGAUUGGACCAAAUCAUGGCCCAGGAUGCAGUAGUAAACCAGGGCUGUCGCUGUGGGCCCUGGAAAGAGCGAUGAUCCCUCAGUAAGAAACUGGAACUAUACCUUUGAAAAUUUAUGUCAGGAGGUGCCUGGGUGGCUCAGUCGGUUGGACGUCCAACUUCGGCUCAGGUCAUGAUCUCGCGGCCCGUGAGUUCGAGCCCCUCAUCAGGCUCUGUGCUGACGGCUCAGAGCCUGGAGUCUG